GACCUGGUGGUGGAUGGCAACGCACCUGUUACACAUGUAGUGGCCGUUUAGAGCAUAAUUUGGCAGGGGAUCCCCGUUCGAAUCGGGGCCAGGUCA